UACGAAGGUCCCGAGCGUUGUUCGGAAUCACUGGGCGUAAAGCGCGCGCAGGCGGGUGCGGAAGUCGGGGGUGAAAGGUCGGGGCUCAACCCCGGAUCGUUCUCUCGAUACUCCGUGCCUAGGGACCGGUAGAGGCCAGUAGAAUUCCCGGAGUAGCGGUGGAAUGCGUAGAUAUCGGGAAGAACACCAGAGGCGAAGGCGACUGGCUGGGCCGGAUCCGACGCUCAGGCGCGAAAGUGUGGGGAGCAAACAGG
rnacentral:misc_RNA from 1 species